CCUACGGGAGGCAGCAGUGAGGAAUAUUGGUCAAUGGACGAGAGUCUGAACCAGCCAAGUAGCGUGAAGGAUGACUGCCCUAUAGGUUGUAAACUUCUUUUAUAUGGGAAUAAAAUGUUCCACGUGUGGGAUUUUGUAUGUACCAUAUGAAUAAGGAUCGGCUAACUCCGUGCCAGCAGCCGCGGUAAUACGGAGGAUCCGAGCGUUAUCCGGUUUUAUUGGGUUUAAAGGGAGCGUAGGUGGAUUGUUAAGUCAGUUGUGAAAGUUUGCGGCUCAACCGUAAAAUUGCAGUUGAAACUGGCAGUCUUGAGUACAGUAGAGGUAGGCGGAAUGCGUGGUGUAGCGGUGAAAUGCUUAGAUAUCACGCAGAACUCCGAUUGCGAAGGCAGUUCACUGGACUGCAACUGACACUGAGGCUCGAAAGUGUGGGUAUCAAACAGGAUUAGAUACCCCGGUAGUC
rnacentral:rRNA from 1 species